rnacentral:rRNA from 1 species
CUACGGGCCGCAGCAGUGAGGGAUUUUGCGCAAUGGGGGGAACCCUGACGCAGCAACGCCGCGUGAGUGAAGAAGGCCUUUGGGUCGUAAAGCUCUGUCAACAGGGAAGAAGUUAUAGCAUUUAAAUAGAGUGUUAUAUUGACGGUACCUGUGGAGGAAGCAUCGGCUAACUCCGUGCCAGCAGCCGCGGUAAUACGGGGGAUGCAAGCGUUAUUCGGAAUUAUUGGGCGUAAAGGGCGUGUAGGCGGUUUUGUCAGUCAGAUGUGAAAGCCCGGGGCUUAACCUCGGAAGAGCAUUUGAAACAGCAAGACUAGAGUACGGGAGAGGAAAGCGGAAUUCCUGGUGUAGAGGUGAAAUUCGUAGAUAUCAGGAGGAAUACCGAUGGCGAAGGCAGCUUUCUGGACCGAUACUGACGCUGAGGCGCGAAGGCGUGGGUAGCGAACAGGAUUAGAUACCCGAGUAGUC